rnacentral:misc_RNA from 1 species
AAGUCUAACAAGGUUUCCGUAGGUGAACCUGCGAAGAUCAUUACAAAUAAGCUGUAGGAAGUGGGGUCUUGAUCUGUAAGUGGUAAGCGAACAGUCCCGGCUGCCUCCGAAAUGUCUUACAUGUCCCCCACAGCCUGAAGGCCGAAUUACCAACCCUUGAUUAUCUAACACUUGUUGCUUUGGGGUGCUCAAGUGCCCCAGAGGACCCAACUCUCUUGCAUUUAGUGACGUCUGAGUACUAUAUAAUAUUUAAAA